CAAGCUUAACAGCAAGGGAAAGGAAUUCUGAGAAUGAACAAGAAAGCUGCAAAGAAGUUAUUUCUGAAGAAAGCUGCAAAGAAGUUGUUUCUGAUAGAGCUGGGUUUCAAGGCCUGAUAGAGCUGGGUACUUAUGAUCAAGGGGAUUCUAUCAAUGGUUCUGUCUCAAACUGCCACCUGGAUCUAAAGGCUUGAUAGGUACAACCAUUAUAGCAGUGGUUGGUAUGAAGAGCAAGGAUGAGAAAAAGAAGGAAAAAGAGAGGAACAGGAUUGAAGGUGCUUUGCAAUCCUAAAAACUGAAGCAGCCUCUGCAGAAUGGCCAACUUUGAGGAUUAAACUGUACUGAUCCAGAGAUAACCAGAAGACGAGCCUUAUAUGCACGGAAAGCCCUGAAUGUCUAGUUUCUGGAGAAUUUUACGGUUCGUGAUUUCGAUAUUCCUAGAAAGAGAUAUGGCCGUUUAAGUACAGGCAGUUCAGUCAAUACGCGAAUCUGUGAUGUGUUUCUAAGAGCUCGAGUUUUCAAGGCCUGAAUGACUUAGCAAAAUUCUGGAAAAAUUAACAUAGCAUUAUGGACCGUUUGAGAGCCCAAACAUAUGUUUCCUUGGAAUUUUAGGAUGCCACAUCACCUUUCUUUUGUGCUAAGUUAUUAAGGAGUUCCAGAGGCCUAAAGCAAGAAGGAAAAGUUGCAUCUUAUAAAAGGAGAAUGUGUCAAGAUGGAGAAGUACCAUUCACCAUCAGAUUUUCACCAAAGAAGGCUGCUGCCAU